GACGAACCGUGCGACCGUUAUUCGGAAUCACUGGGCUUAAAGCGCGUGUAGGCGGGCCAUCACGUCGGUCGCUGAAAGCCCCCGGCUCAACCGGGGAACCGGCGCCGAUACGAGUGGCCUGGAGGGGGGUAGGGGGACCUGGAACUUCCGGUGGAGCGGUGAAAUGCGUUGAGAUCGGAAGGAACGCCCGUGGCGAAAGCGAGGUCCUGGACCCCAUCUGACGCUGAGACGCGAAAGCCAGGGGAGCGAACGGG
rnacentral:rRNA from 1 species